rnacentral:pre_miRNA from 1 species
CAACUACUCCCUCUGUCCCAAAUUUCUUGUCUUAGAUUUGUCUAGAUACUGAUGUAUCUAAUACUAAAAUGUGACUUGAUACAUCUAUAUCUAGAGAAAUCUAAGACAAGAAUUUUGGGACGGAGGGAGUACUUU